rnacentral:sRNA from 1 species
AGCAGCCGCGGUAAUUCCAGCUCCAAUAGCGUAUAUUAAAGUUGUUGCAGUUAAAAAGCUCGUAGCUGAAUUUCGGGGUCAGCAGGUUGGUCGUGCCACUGGUAUGUACUGGCCUUGCUGAUUCCUCCCUCUUGAUGAGCCGUAAUGCCAUUAAUUUGGUGUUGCAGGGGAAUCAGGACUGUUACUUUGAAAAAUUAGAGUGUUUAAAGCAGGCAUGCGCUUGAAUACAUUAGCAUGGAAUAAUGAAAUAGGACGUUUGAUCCUAUUUUGCUGGUUUCUAUGAUUGACGUAAUGAUUAAUAGGGAUAGUUGGGGGCAUUAGUAUUCAAUUGUCAGAGGUGAAAUUCUUGGAUUUAUUGAAGACUAACUACUGCGAAAGCAUUUGCCAAGGAUGUUUUCAUUAAUCAAGAACGAAAGUUGGGGGAUCGAAGACGAUCAGAUACCGUCGUAGUCUUAACCAUAAACUAUGCCGACUAGGGAUCGGAUGAUGUUAAUUUUUAAUGUA